rnacentral:rRNA from 1 species
GUCCUCAGGAUAAUAAUUUGAGGUUUGACCUGCCCACUGAACAUAAUAUGUUUGAAGGGCCGCGGUAUUUUGACCGUGCAAAGGUAGCAUAAUCAUUAGUCUUUUAAUUGAAGGCUUGUAUGAAUGGUUGGACGAGGUAUUGACUGUCUCAGUGUAAAUGAUAUUAGAAUUUAACUUUUAAGUCAAAAGGCUUAAAUUUAUUUAGAGGACGAGAAGACCCUAUAGAGCUUUAUAUUAAAUGUUUAUUUUUUCGUUUAGAAGUAGUUUGUAAAUAAUCAAGAUAAUAUUUGGUUGGGGUGACGGGAAGAUAGAAUAAACUCUUCUUAAAAUAUUAACAUUGAUUUAUGAGUAAUUGAUCCAUUAUUAGUGAUUAUAAGACUAAGUUACCUUAGGGAUAACAGCGUAAUCUUUUUUGAGAGUUCUUAUCGACAAAAAGGGUUGCGA